GGGGUUGCAGCUCAGUGGUAGAGCGCUUACCUCAUGUGUGAGACACUUGAGUUUGAUUCCCAGCACCACA
rnacentral:tRNA from 1 species